UACAGAGGGGGCAAGCGUUGUUCGGAAUUACUGGGCGUAAAGGGCGCGUAGGCGGCCUGCUAAGUCGAACGUGAAAUCCCCGAGCUCAACUCGGGAACUGCGUCCGAUACUGGAUGGCUUGAAUCCGGGAGAGGGAUGCAGAAUUCCAGGUGUAGCGGUGAAAUGCGUAGAUAUCUGGAGGAAUACCGGUGGCGAAGGCGGCAUCCUGGACCGGCAUUGACGCUGAGGAGCGAAAGCCAGGGGAGCAAACGGG
rnacentral:rRNA from 1 species